rnacentral:rRNA from 1 species
CAGAGGUCUCAAGCGUUGUUCGGAUUCAUUGGGCGUAAAGGGUGCGUAGGUGGCGCCGUAAGUGGGGUGUGAAAUUUCGGAGCUUAACUCCGAAACUGCAUUCCAUACUGCGGUGCUUGAGGACUGGAGAGGAGACUGGAAUUUACGGUGUAGCAGUGAAAUGCGUAGAGAUCGUAAGGAAGACCAGUGGCGAAGGCGGGUCUCUGGACAGUUCCUGACACUGAGGCACGAAGGCCAGGGGAGCAAACGGGAUUAGAUACCCCGGUAGUCCUGGCAGUAAACGGUGCACGUUUGGUGUGGGAGGAUUCGACCCUUCUGCGCCGGAGCUAACGCGUUAAACGUGCCGCCUGGGGAGUACGGUCGCAAGAUUA